rnacentral:lncRNA from 1 species
AAAUCCGAGAAUACGAGCAGACCCUGAAGAGUCAGGCCGAGACCAUCGCUCUGGAGAAGGAGCAGAAGCUACAAAAUGAUUUUGCAGAGAAGGAGAGAAAGCUGCAAGAGACACAGAUGUCCACCACCUCAAAGCUGGAGGAAGCUGAGCACAAACUCCAGACUCUGCAAACAGCCCUGGAAAAAACUCGAACAGAAUUAUUUGACCUGAAAACCAAAUACGAUGAAGAAACCACUGCAAAGGCCGACGAGAUCGAGAUGAUUAUGACUGACCUUGAACGAGCCAACCAGAGGGCAGAGGUGGCACAGAGAGAGGCAGAGACUUUAAGGGAACAGCUUUCAUCGGCCAACCACUCUCUCCAACUGGCCUCGCAGAUCCAGAAGGCUCCAGAUGUGGCCAUAGAGGUGCUGACCCGAUCCAGCCUGGAAGUAGAGUUGGCUGCCAAAGAGCGGGAGAUUGCCCAGCUGGUGGAAGAUGUGCAGCGACUCCAGGCCAGCCUCACCAAGCUGCGUGAGAAUUCCGCCAGCCAGAUCUCACAGCUGGAGCAGCAGCUGAACGCCAAGAAUAGCACACUCAAA